AUGUAUCUAUUUGACCGACAUGGGACACUUCUUGUACUGCUGCUAAGGGUUUCACUAUAGAUACAACAGGAAAGUAUCCUUGAGCUUUCUGAAUGUAGCAGCCAAGAUUGAAUGGGAGAAUAAAGUA
rnacentral:snoRNA from 1 species